UACAGAGGGCCCGAGCGUUGCGCGGAUUUAUUGGGCUUAAAGGGUGCGUAGGCGGAAGCGCAAGUGUCUUGUGAAAGCCCCCGGCUCAACCGGGGAAUUGCUGGGCAAACUGCGUUUCUUGAGGCUGGUAGGCGCUGCCGGAACUGUAGGUGUAGCGGUGAAAUGCGUAGAUAUCUACAGGAACGCCGAUGGUGAAGACGGGCAGCUGGGCCAGUUCUGACGCUGAGGCACGAAAGCGUGGGGAGCAAACAGG
rnacentral:misc_RNA from 1 species